UAUUUAAAUUUGUACAAAUUACACUGUGAGCAUAAUCAGGAUAGUCUACCUUAGCCUGGGAUAGCAUCUCCAAAAUUGCAGUAGAUUAGCACAACAGACAUGUGCUUCUUGCUCAUCCCAGGACACCUGGGAACUCUGUUCUACAUCUUCUCACACCAGGCAGAUGAUGUUUCUAUCAUCUGAAAAGUUACUGGUUGCCCUGGCAGUAGAAUGGAACAGCAAAUUGCACUCUUCUUUGAAAGGCUCCAUCUUGAAAUGACACCUGUCACUUCUUCUCACAUUUCAUUAACCAAAGAAAGUCAUAAGGACAUAAAUGUGUUUCAUGCCAUGAGGACAGGGAAAUGCAAUUUUACCAUGUGACCAAAAGAAGAGAUACUAGUGGCCAAUCACAUUUAGACUAACCAUUGGGAAGGUUGAGCAAUCAAUAUUUUCUGUUUUCUUUGUUGUUAAUAACCCUCUCAUCAUGAUUAUGUGGAAACCCACGUUGAUUAACGUGGUCAAAACUAUUGAAUAGUUUAUCCUUUAUAAUUGUGUGUCAGACAUACAAAAAAAUAGUCUCCCACUUGCAAGGAUCCUUUUCCCUGAAAUGUUUUUUCCACAAAAGAACAGCCACCAGAAAAUUUUUGGACUUGUAAAAACUUAAUUAUCACAAUAAAGAUCCUAGUGUCACAGUGUAUAAGUCUCAGUAUACUCGUUAAAUCUGUGCUAUGGAUACCAUCUUCUUCAUUUCUUUUAUAUGCUUUUUUUGUUUCUGAAUUGAAAGUCAGGGCUCCUGUUUUAUCCAGAAAUCUCUGGGUCAACGUUGCCAUUAUGGCUCCAGUUGUUAUUGCUGUGCUGUUGCCAAGGCAGCCAAAAUACAGACCUGGGUUCAAAGUAGUUGCUGGGUGUGUAAGAGAGUAGUCACUCCACUUUCAUGAAUACAGCUGCUCUGAAUGUGACAAAUACCAUUAUCAUCAUGGGUCUUAUUACCUCCAGCCACAAGGUGCUAUCUGAACAAAUGCUGGGUUUUAACUGCCAGACUCUUGAAUAUGUCACAUUUUUCUUUGGAUCUUUGGGUUAUUGUAACAGCUGUUUGUAAACAUUGUAAAGCCUACAUUAGGUACAGAAUGGGUAAGAAUAUUUUGACCCAAAUGUCUGCCCUCUGAACUAUUGUAAGGAAUGCAGCAUGUCUGCUGACACUUAAAGCAGUAGAUUUAAAUAGCAACCGGGAUCAACUUCCAGCUGAAUAAGUCAAUAGGCAUUUUCAGUUUCGGACUCCAUCUGGGUCAGUUUUCUUUCAUCAGCUGGCCUGAGAACAUCCGAGGGUAUUCAGACCAUACUGAAAAAAAGAAAAGGAGGGGAAUAGCAAGAUAAUCGGAUAUAUCGCAGCCAUGAUCCUCAAAAAUUAAAAAAGUUUUCCAACCAUCUUGCUUAAAUACAGGAAACUGCGAUUUGUCUUCCAGAAUUUUUUCAUCACUGAGCCUCAGCUCCUCUCUGAUAUGAACUCCUUAUGUGAUCUCCAUCAAAUGCGUAAGCAUCAAGACAGCUUCAGGACAUCUAAGAUAAGAAUUAUAAACACAGAUUCUGAUACUUUGGAAAGCCUAAGGAAAACUGACCUAAACGAAAAAGGGAGGAUAUUACGUAGAUCCUGCUCUUGAAGGAGCCGCCCACAGCUUAGAAGACAGAUGAGAAGAUCAUCAUCACAGAUUUGCUGUGAACAGCUCUGCUCAGCUCUGUCCCUGCCAGACUUGGGGCCACACAUACCCUUCUAAGAGGGCUAAAGAAGAUUCACAAAGAGCACUGCUUCUUGCUCCAGCUUUGGCAAGAACAGAGGAUGAUUUUGUCUUUCGUAAUCCCAUGAGUGAGUAAUAUAAUUACCCAAAUUUCAUGGAAGAAGAAACCGAGGCCAAAAUUUGCCCAUGGUUCCAAAAAAAUGAAUUAUCAUUCAUCUUUUUCAAGAGGAGAAUAUUAUAAAUUUACUAUGCUACUUAUAAAUGCCUUUCUGCCAGAUUAAUAGAAAACCUUUAGAAGCUGGACUUGUGACUUAUUCUGGGAUAUGGUCUUCCACAAACAAUUGGAGUCAUCAGUGCUCAGUGGAACAUCCUUUCAGUUGCAUGAAGAUGCCAAACUAGAGGAAAGAGGACACACCAUGUGAUUUCCCAAGGGCCAUCAUUUCCCAGGGGAUGGUUGUGACUGAGGGGACACAAAAACAAACAGUCUAAAACCAACAGAUAUUCCUGUCUAAAGUAUCUUUUUAUAGCACAGCAUAGCUGUAUUCAAUAUAAAACAAGGAGAGUGAUAACUGAAUGUGAAUUACAAAGCAGAAUUUUAAUCAUGAUACAUGAGUUAAUAAUACACAUGAGUUAAACUCAUGAUACAUGAAUUAAAGAAAAUAACUGGAACCCCUUUUCAUAUUUUAUUGUCAAAAGUUUUACCAAAUAGGUGGUUUAUUUGGAAAAGUAGCACCUCUUUGAAGUUAACUCUUGAUUUGUAAAAGUUCAGAUUGUUCCUAUCUACUUGGUCAACUAAAAGUGAUUAUUUUUAUUGCUAUAAGCCAUGCAUGUUGGUCUUUGAGAAAUAUGCCAUUAAUCAUGGUUAAAUUGUAUAGGCUCAAAAAUCUCUAAGACCUGCAAGAAAAAAAAACAAAAUCCAAAAAUGUAAAAUUAUUUAUUAGUCUAUAAAAAGUUGUGUGGACUUUCUACAAAACCAGCAAUUGGAAAAUGACAAAAUUGUUAUUUUAUCCCUAGAGAAUCUUUACACAUUUACCUCAAAGGGAGGAAUAGAGUCAAUUACUUCUAUUUCAAAUAGAUAACUCCCUUUGACAAGUAUGCAAAUCAUACUGGAACUAUACAUCUGAGCUUUUUAAGUGUGACAACUCUGAGAUACUACUUGGUAAAGAAGAUUGUGCUAUUACCUCUCCAGUCUGUUCUCAAAGGGAAUAACACUCAUGUUUCCGAGGCAGAGAGCACUAAGAGGUGAGGUUCUGUCCACUCCUGCUGUGGACUGAAUUGUGUUCCUCCCUCCAACCACCAAUUUAUAUGUUGAAGCCCUAAUCACCAAUGUGAGUAUAUCUGGAGAUGGAGCCUUUAAGAAGGUGAUUAAAGUUAAAAGAGGUCAUAAGGGUCGAGCCCUAAUCCAGUAGAACUCUUGCUCUUUUAAGAAGAGGAAGAGACAUCAGAGCUGUUUCUCUGCUAUUUAAGGACAGUUUGAGAAGGCAGUCAUCUGCAAACCAGGAAAACAGCCGUCACCAGAGUCCAACCAUGCUGGCAACCUGAUCUUGGACAUCCAGCCUCCAGAACUGUGAGAAAUACAUUUCUGCUGUGUAAGUCACCCAGUCUAUAGUAUUUUGAUAUGGCAGCCCAAGCUAACAUAACCCCUUAAGUAACCUAGCCAAAAAUUAUUAUUUUUUCAGCAAAUAAGGAGAAAAAAAAAAGUUUUAUAAGAUUUUAAUUUUUGUAGGGUUGCCUGGGUGGCUCAGACAGUUGAGCAUCCAAAUCUUGAUCUCAGCUCAGGUCUUGAUCUCAGGGCCCUGAGUUCAAGCUCUGAGUUGAGCUGCAUGCUGGACAUGGAAUCUACUAUUUUAAAAAAACGAUUGUAAUUUUUAUAAGAAAAAAUGUGAAUAAAACCAUCUUUGAAAAUUGA